rnacentral:rRNA from 1 species
GUCUUUGGCUGUUCCGAGUUGUAAUCUAGAAGAAGUGUUGCCCACACUGGACCGUGUACAAGUCUUCUGGAAUGAAGCGUCAUAGAGGGUGAGAAUCCCGUCUUUGACAUGGACUCCCUGUGUAUUGUGGCGUGCUCUCAAAGAGUCGAGUUGUUUGGGAAUGCAGCUCUAAAUGGGUGGUAACCUCCAUCUAAAGCUAAAUAUUGGCGAGAGACCGAUAGUGAACAAGUACCGUGAGGGAAAGAUGAAAAGAACUUUGGAAAGAGAGUUAAACAGUACGUGAAAUUGUUGAAAGGGAAACGCUUGAAGUCAGUUGCAUUGGCCAGGGAUCAACCUAGCUCUUUUGCUGGGUGUACUUCCUGGCCGAUGGGCCAAUGUCAGUUUCGACUGCUAGACAAGGGCAGAGGGAAUGUGGCACCUCCGGGUGUGUUAUAGCCUUGUGUCAUAUAUGGCAGUUGGGACUGAGGAAUGCAGCGCGCCCACAAGGGCCGGGUUUCGACCACGUUUCGCGCUUUGGAUGUUGGCAUAAUGGCUUUAAUCGACCCGUCUUGAAACACGGACCAAGGAGUCUAACAUACCUGCGAGUGUUUGGGUGGAAAACCCGAGUGCACAAUGAAAGUGAAAGUUGAGAUCCCUGUCGUGGGGAGCAUUGACGCCCGGACCAGAGCUUUUAGCAAUGGAUCUGCGGUAGAGCAUGUAUGUUGGGACCCGAAAGAUGGUGAACUAUGCCUGAAUAGGGCGAAGCCAGAGGAAACUCUGGU